ACUAUAGAGAGCUUGCUGGAACCUCAGUUAAACCAGUUUCAUUUGUUGUGAAAUGAGGAUGAUGAGAAGAAGACCUACCUUGUUUUACCAAACAAUAGCACAAAUGCUGGAAUAUUAUUACGGCUAAUAGUCAUUAUUGUGGUUAAUGUUUAUGAAGAGAGUACUAGGUGCUGUUCUGUAUUAAAUACAUGUAUUAUCUCCCUUAAUACUCAAAACAGUCUUAUGAGGAGUGCCUGGAAGAAGUCUGUGUCUAGCAACCUCUGAACAGAGACAUGGAAAGGCCUUCAGCCUCUGGGGAGAUAUGAGUUACAGACCUAAAGUCCAGACUUUCAGACAUGGUAAGCCUUUUCACUUGCAUGGGCUUUGAAAGGGGGUGCUAAAGCUCUAGAGUUCCUGCUGCAGGGAGUUAAUCUUCCAGAAAAGGCCUGCAAAGGCUCUGAGAAGCUUCACCCAGCCCAGCUUUCCUCAGAUCUCCCUCAGGCAGCUGUGACUCCUUAGUUCCCUCUUGGCUCCUCCCCAGUCCAGAUUAGCCCUGGUUGCAUUGUCAUUUCACUGCCAGUCAGAGCACAUCUAUGGAGCAGAGUCACCUCUGGAGGCUCAGGAGUCUGGGGCCCCAGCCCUUUGAUAGCUGAGUUUUAGAAAUACCUUGAGAUUUGGGAGGGUACCAGGGAACAGGGUCAAGGGUGCUAAGGAACCGCUGGAGUAAGGAGCUGUGUUCAGGGGCAAAGGUGAUUCACAGGGGAUGCUAAUCCUUCAGUCUACAGGGUUUACUGAUCCUACCUAUUGUUUGGUCUUUGAGGGCAGGAAUGCUAGGCCUGAGAGAGGGAGGCACUGAUAGUAAUAAUGACAGCUACUUUUUAUCCAGACCAUCUAUAUGUCAGACACCAUACGUACACCCUGUCAUUUAAUCCUCCAAUAACUCUGUGAGAGAGCUAGGAAUAGUUGCAUUUUAUGGAUUAAAUAGUUUAAAAAAAAAGAAAAACACCCUGAAGCUCAGAGAAGUUGCCCAUAACCAUUGAGAGAGAAUUGGAAUUGAACCCAAUCCCAUAUCUGUGUAUCUCAAGCCAGUGGUAGACUGCCUAGAAAUAUAAAUUUUGUCCUCAUCAUCAAUACUUGGGCUACCUGAUGUGAAGAGGCG
rnacentral:lncRNA from 1 species